rfam:Myotis davidii contig115751, whole genome shotgun sequence.
GCCGGUGUAGCUCAGUGGUUAGAGCAUCGGCCUGCGGACCGAAGGGUCCUGGGUUUGAAUCUAGUCAAAGGCA